CUUAAGCUAACAUAAAUAGUGUCUUAAAGAUUAAUUUUGAUAUAAAUUGAAAAACUUGAUAGGUAAUCAAAAUGUUGUAGAGUAUACACUUUGUUUAAAACUUGUCUAAAAUAAGAACUAAAGCAGUGUAGUAGUAGUUGAUGAAAAGUAUUUAAGUCAUGUACUUUGAGGGUAUGACUCACGAUAGAUUUGGAGUCGGAGCAAACUACCAAAGAAAACGGGCUUACGCCGAAAAAUGGGUAUGACACCGAGGUAGAUUUGGAGUUCGAGCAAACUAUCAAGAAUGUGGGCUUAUCACCUAGUAAUUUGAUUAAAUACAUAGAGGAUAAAAACUGCUUAAAUAUGAAAAAUAAAAAAAAAAGACACAUAGAACGCCAUUAAGCCUGUCAAAUAAAACAACACCGUUGAAAGAAAAAUAAAUAGAAUCCAUCUUAAAAUAAAAAGCUUUGAAAAAUCUUGUCCUUUGAAAAGCGUUUUAAAAUAUAAGUAGUUAGAUCGUCAUUUACUUAAAACAAUAAAGUUUAACUUAAUGAAAAAUUUAUAAUGCUAAAUAAACUGAUAAAUAAAAUUGCGGGAGCAAUUUUUUUCGAACAACAGGGAUAUAUAAUGAUGGAAAAUUGCAUGUUGUAAAAGAAAAUAAAAUAAAGUAAACUUAGAUAAAUAAACUAUUAAAUAAAUAAAAUUGAAUUAAAUUGCAUGGCUAAAGCUCUAAGACAAAGUAGGCGACGUAAGAUUAAGUUAUAAAUAGUUUCGUCUUUUUAUAAAUAAUAUAGUUAAUCUCAUUUCU
rnacentral:lncRNA from 1 species